CAGAGCGUAGCUUAAUAGCAUAGCAUCUCCCUUACACUGAGAAGACAUUCGUGCAACUCGAAUCGCCCUGA
rnacentral:tRNA from 1 species